ensembl:lncRNA GTF2IP1 general transcription factor IIi pseudogene 1
UGUUGAAGAUCUUUAUGUAGAAGGACUUCCUGAAGGAAUUCCUUUUAGAAGGCCAUCUACUUACGGAAUUCCUCGCCUGGAGAGGAUAUUACUUGCAAAGGAAAGGAUUCGUUUUGUGAUUAAGAAACAUGAGCUUCUGAGUUCAACACGUGAAGAUUUACAGCUUGAUAAGCCAGCUUCAGGAGUAAAGGAAGAAUGGUAUGCCAGAAUCACUAAAUUAAGAAAGAUGGUGGAUCAGCUUUUCUGCAAAAAAUUUGCGGAAGCCUUGGGGAGCACUGAAGCCAAGGCUGUACCGUACCAAAAAUUUGAGGCACACCCGAAUGAUCUGUACGUGGAAGGACUGCCAGAAAACAUUCCUUUCCGAAGUCCCUCAUGGUAUGGAAUCCCAAGGCUGGAAAAAAUCAUUCAAGUGGGCAAUCGAAUUAAAUUUGUUAUUAAAAGACCAGAACUUCUGACUCACAGUACCACUGAAGUUACUCAGCCAAGAACGAAUACACCAGUCAAAGAAGAUUGGAAUGUCAGAAUUACCAAGCUACGGAAGCAAGUGGAAGAGAUUUUUAAUUUGAAAUUUGCUUAGAUUUGUUGACAGCGGUUUCCUGGAGUGCUGUCUUGAGAACGAUUCUGAGGAGGC